rnacentral:lncRNA from 1 species
UCAAGAAUUCAAAUUUUGAAUUAUUGGAAAAGCUCCAAUCAUAGAGAAAAAAAUUGUGGAAGAGAAAGACAGAUUUUGUUUUACCUAUUCAAGAUGAUGUAAAAGGGAAAAGAGAUGAUUUUGAGGUCUUACUUUCAGACCCAUUAGAUUAAGGGGAAAAUAAAUCAAAAUUCGAUGGUCCUUCUUGUUCUCCACCUUUUCAGGAGCAACAGUUGUGGUGGAGUAUUUUAGGGGAUGAUUUGAUCUGGAAAAGCUAUUUAUAUGAUAUAAAGUUGAUGGAGGAAUUGGAAGACUGAUGGAAAAGAAGAAGAGAAGGCUGAAGACCACUAAAUUUUCCAUUAUCCAAUGGUUUGAGCGUUGGCGUUGAUAUUGUUAUUGUUAUUGCUUGUAUAAG